GAACCUUCUCCCGCUGCCACCCUGCCGCCGAAAACAGCCCACCCAAACAAACAGCAAAGGGGCUCGGUCCGCCGCCACGAAACCCGAGCAGAGCCGGAGCAUCGGCAGCAGCGGAGCGGUCCUUAGCUUUUGUCUCCGUACGCUGCCUUUUUCCUUUCUCUCCUUCCAAACUUUCGGGCGCUCGCUCUGAGCUGUAUUUAUAGACCUGGAGCGCACGGCUGUAUUUUUCCUUGUGCCUCCUUUGGCUUGGGCUUAAGUCACUGGCAGGGAAAAUAAAAAGGAGGCAGGCAGGCGGGCAGACAAACAGGAGGACAGAAAGGGAAGGGAGCUGUAGGUCCCGCAGACGGGACCCGGAGGGAGGCAGGGGCAGGCGGCCGGGGGUGCGGGACCCCCCUCUGCUCUGGGUGGACGAGAGAGAGCGUGGAUGGUGAAAGUCUCUAACCAAGUAUCUCAGUAACGUGGAUGGGGUAAUUGUCGUGUUGUUAAGCUCUUCCUUAUUGACGCGCACCACAUUUAGCCCCUGGUCUCCGAAAUGGAUGUCAAAGCAGGUUGUGACAUCUUUAGAGAGCCUGUCCUGCAGGGUUUUCUGUUACCGCCAAGAGUAUCCUCAUGUACGGUGCCCUCCGUGGCCAGGGGCCAGCGACGGAACGGAGUCAAAUGAAUAAAAUAAGUGCAAACUAGUCUUCUUUGCACAGAGACGUCAAGAUGCGUGUAAAAGGGGAGCAUCUAGAAAAGAUGAAAAUCCGAGUUUUCCAGCUCCAAAUUAUUACAUUCUCAGCAACCGAACACGAUCAUUACGCACGAGAGACGGGCAAAAUCCUACUCGUAUACUGAUUAUUGUUAUGACAAGGAGCAGUAACGGCUUUUGUUAUAAAAAUACUGUUUGUUAUGAAGAAACUGAGUGAGCAGCCACCCAGAUAAACACUCCCUGCGUCUAACAA